UAAAGUUGGUUAAUUUUGGACUGUAGAUUUCAAGACUGGAUAUGCUUUCUUUUAUUAUAAUAUCAGAAGUUUAAAGAAAGAAGUGAUUGCUGAAGUAUGCCAGGAGGCAUGUCAAAGUCAAGGAAAACCAGGAAAGAACUGUGGACAUCAGGAAUUCAUUGAAUGGCUAAAUAGAUUGGAGCAGAACACAUUUUUGCUCUGUUUUAUGUGAUAAAAAAGGUUUUUAUAGCUUGUCUUACAUCAAUACUUUUCUUAAACCCAGGCUAGGCUCUAUGCAUUUAGAAUUCGCCUUCUCUUUUAUGAACUCCUCUGGUUGUGUUGCCCUUUAGCUUCCUAAUCUCUGGCUAGUAUGUUUGAUGGCUGUGCUGCUUUCCAUCAAGGUAUUUAAAAAGUAUACUCUCCAACAGUCAUUAAGAUUCCCUGGAGAGGCCCUGAUCAUUGUUCCAUUGGGGACAUACUACAACCAGAAGUACAGAUUAAGUUAUAAGAUACUAAUGUUGGAAAUAACUCCCAAGGGUUUUAUCUGGUUGACUCAAAUACUGUACUGUUUCAUUUUUAAAAAAACUUGCCCUAAUUUUGUAGACCUCAGUUUGUACGCUUCUCUGAAUUCUUCUAGGAGAGACAUGUAGAAAUAAGCAAUGGUAUAUAGUAGAUAUGAUAACUAUAGUCUUAAAUUUUCUGUGUAGAGAAAGCACUGCCCAGUCAUGCUUGGAAAUUGCCUCCUAACUAGAACAAGUGCUCACUUGAGAUGUAAUUACUGAAUUGGAUUGCAUAAAAUCCUGCUCAUUUCAACUUCAUUUCCAAAUUCCAACACUAGAGGAUCAGAAUGGAGCCCAGAUGUUGCAGAAAAUAACUUUAUAUUUGAUGACUUGAAGAAUUAACAGAGAUGAUAACAAUGAACAUAAAACUCUGGAUACAUAACACUUAGUUGCACUUAAUAAAAAUAUUUCCAAAGAUGAAAAUAUGACUUUGAAAUAUCGAGGGGGGGGGGAAUUCCUUGGGUGGUCCCCAUCAUGACAUGAAAACAUCUGUCCUGCCUUAAUCAAGGGCACAGUGGUGGAGUUACAGCAUUUGCUGUGGGCUGAAAAUGAAGUUAUCCAGGGUAGAGUGGAGACCAGAUCAGCUCUAGAAGGCCAAUGAUCCAUCAGUGUGGCCUGUUCUAUUCAUGGAACUGAUUGGAUAUAACCCAUACUAUAUUAAGAUCUUGGGAUUUAAGAGCCAACCAGCAGUGAAGCGGAUGCAAUAAUAGGGCUGAUGCAAUUGAAGAUGAAUCAGCAUUGGUACUGCCUCUUUAAGACUGGGGAUGGGUUCUACCCCUUUAAGAGGUGUUUAUAUAAAGGCAACCAUUACAGGGUCUAUUCUCUCUCCUUGUGUCCUGUCUCUAUUGCAGAGUUCUUAGAGUAAAGUU